ensembl:lincRNA Gm12153 predicted gene 12153
CCCAGUGCCAGAAAAUGAAUGGCUGAUAUGAGUCAGCAGUUAGCAGGCUGCCCUGUGAAAUAAAAACAAAAAUGAAGAGGUGGGAGUGGACCCCUGUGACCCAAGACGUGGCCUCAGCAGAGAGUCUCUGGGACCUCCUCCUUCUCCUAGAUCCUUGCUGUAGGUCUCUUGCUGUUUCCAGUGCCUGCUGCUAAUGGCUGGGUCUCCCAGUUCUGUGGAGUUGCUUCUGGAGGUGGAGUUGGACUAAUCUCAUCUCCCUCUGGAUGAACCUGGGGCUAUGUGGACUGUUUGCUGUUGCCUGAUGAGUCUGUGGAUCUGUUUCUUCCACUUAGCUGCUAGCUAAGAAUGUGGCAAAUCACUUCACUUGUCUGUACCUCAGAGGUCUCCUCCCUUAGACGGUGAUUAGAACCUUGCAGAAUUAUUGUCUAGGUCAAACCAGGAAAAAAAAUCUACUGAACUGUGUCUAGACAGACACAACUUCUUCCCUCUGAAGCCUUCCCUGGUCUCCCGUCAGUGUGGCACUAAUUGUACCCUUUGGAGUAUGAACAGUCCUUCAUUCCUUCAUUCAUUGCCUUCAUUUCUUGCAAACACAGCAGGCUAUGUGGGAUGGUGUUAGUGUACCUGCACUCUGGCUAGUCCAAACAAAUCCAAGAAAGGCCUGUGAUCCAAGAUCAACAAAUAGAAGACACCACCGGAGACCCAGUAGACAUCUAGAGAAAGGCCAUGUCGGGUGGCUCCAGGUGAGCUGUCUGUUCCUUCUCCAGUCCAGAGUGGGAGUAGGAGAUGGCAGCCAGCCCUUGCAGCUGGAGGGCUAUUGGUCUGGAGCUGCUGAGGGACAUGUCAGCACAUCACGGAAGUGUCAGCAACAGCAGAGGCAGAAGCACAGCUCUGUGAUGUCACUCACAGCAGCCUGAGGAGUUCUGUUAAUCUGUUACUUAGAUGCUUUACCAUCCGUUCCCCAGCAUGCUGAUGCUCUGGCCCACUAUAGGCUCCAAAUAAGAGCCAAGCAACUGUGGACUUCUGAAGCUAUAGGACAGAACAAACUUUUCUUCCUUGUUUCUCGAGCUGUCCAGGAUGACGAUAUACACAUUCCAGUGGGGGUUUCUUCUGAAUUUCUCAGGCAAGCGGUUCUUGCUUGUCUUUUUCGCCUGUACAGAUGACUCCUCGGGCUGAAAGCAUCCCACUGGGAGGUUGCGCACAGGAGGCCUCCUUCUCAGCAGGUGUACCUGUCAAUCUGAGAUGGAGGCAGAACUGAAUUGGAAAUAAUUUUAUUUUCGACUGUAAAAUCGGACUGUAAGGAUUCCACCUUUUGUUGGGUCCAGAUUGUGAGAAUCUUGUAGAGAAUUUCAUUGUUGUGUUUAUGAAAACAUGAAGUCUGUUUGCUUUCUUGGGAUGCCAUUAUAUGUUUGUCACUUGGGGGGUAAUUCUGGUCUCAAAAAGGAGAUGGAAAGUGCUCAAUUUUCUUUUUGGAGAUCUUGAAGGGGGGGUUGAUUCUUCAAUAAAUAUGUGGUAGAGUUCACUGGUGAAGGUUCCUGGACUUGGGCAUUCCUUUGUGGUAGUUUCUAUAGGUUUUAAUUCAUUCUCCUUUCCUUCUAUAGAUCUAUUCAGACCAAUUCUUUUUGGGAGUGGGGGAUGGAGAGUCAUGUCAUUUCAGUCUUUCCAGGACCGUGUCCACGCCAUCUCUGUUCAUCUAAUCUGCCAGAAUAUAGUUAUUCAUAUGUCUCAUUUUAAUUUCUUUUGAUUUCCAAGGUUAAGGACAGUAACCUUUCCAGCAUUUUCCAUUCCAGUAAUGAGUCUUCCCGGACCCCCACAUCAACCUAGAUAAAAGUUUAUCAGUUGAUGUUUUCAGAGAACUCGCCCUCGGCUUUGUGCUUCUUCUCUGUUAUUUGUCUCUUCCAAUUUCAUUCACUCCCUCGCUCGCCUUCAGUGUGUGCUUCCUCAUGCUCUUUGGAAGCCUAGUCUGCUCUUUUAUCCCUUCAUGUCUUACAGUGAUGGGUGGCUUACUUAUGGGACAGUUUCUUUUCUCCUUUUAAACUGUGCAUCUGUCUCUCAACACUGCUCCUAUUCCUCUAAGGGUUUAAAUAUUUGUGUCAUUUUUUUCAUUCAUUUCCACAUAUUGCCUGAGUUUACUUUUUGUGUCUUGAUCUGACAGUAUUAGGUGGGUUUUAUUUAAUACUGCAUAUCUUUGCAAUUAAUGUUCAUAUCUCACUUUUCUGACUUGAUUUUCAUGAAUAGACUUUCUUAUUUCUUGAUGUACUCAGGAUUUUAAAUGUCUGUUUUAAAUAAUUUCUAACAGUUUCACUGGGAAGAGGGUUCAUAAAGAUGCCUUACUGUUGUGGUAUAAACCAACCACAUGGAUUGGUUUUCAGUUAAUUUGUUGGUUGACUUUUUCUUUCUUUUUUUCUUGAUAGUUUUCAACCUGGAAUAUCUGAUAAUCUGUGCAUAGGUUGAUCUUCAAGCACCAGCUAUUAUUUUAUAAGCUUUUUUUAAAAGUAGGAAUUACAAAUC